rnacentral:misc_RNA from 1 species
UAAUAGGUGUUUUAUGGCACUUUUUAAAUCCAUAUCCACCUUGUGUGCAAUGUCGGUCGAUCUUCUUCAUGGAGAUCGACCAAACAUCAACCUUUAUCUUUUAACUCUUUGUCUGAAAAAUAUUAUGAAUAAACAAUUCAAAAUA